rnacentral:lncRNA from 1 species
GAAACUAAACAUAAAUUUAAGAAUUAUAUUGAAUUAAACUAAAUAUUACAAAUGUAUCACCAUUUAUAUAAUUUAAAGUUAGUAGUUGGUACAAGUUUAAAAAAUUACAACUAUAAUAAAAUUAUCAUUUUGACUUGAUCUUGUUCGCUUCUUGUUGUGAUUUGAUAUGCUACAACCUGCAUUAUGAAUAUGGUAAAUCAUUAGAAAUAUCAAUAUAUAAAUAAUUAAAUACUCAUAUAAAUGUUAAAUAUAUAGAAUUUUAUACGUAUAAAAUUUACAUUGUUAACGACUUGUCGACUUGUGGACGACUAGUCGGGUGCUUUGUCGCCUAAGCGCUUAAACUCCCGACUGUCGCCUCGCUUCGACUUAGCGCCUUGAUAACUAUGGAGUUGGUGAGUUUUCUGCUGAUAGCUUCUUCUCCAUGCUUAGUUUGAUAUAUACAAGUAUAAUUUUUGGAUGUAUUUGCAUAAAGCACAAUCCAAAUACUGUAUACAUGUUCAGUCUCCGUUGUCUCCACCAAGUCCCUCCUAAUAGCUCAGAUACCCACUUUUGGAAUUGGAGUUCUGAUGCCAAGUCUUGUAUGUAUUCUAAUAAUUCUUGAUCUGGAAUUGAAUUUAAUGGAGUUUGAUUCUUGAUUUGGAAGAGAUCUAGUAAUAUUUCUUUGUUUUUUUUCAUUUUACCCAUUUUUUGUGCUCCUCUACUGAAAAACAAAAAUACUUGGUGAUUUUGGAGUUGUACUUCAAUAUCUUUGUCUAGUGGAAGCCUAAGUUUAAUUUCUGUUUUAAUGGUGCUCUGUAGUGUUUUAGGUGAAACCUUCAUUUCGGUUAUUAACCGAAUAAUCGAAUUUUAAAUUCGAUAAUUCGGUUAUCUAUUAUUUCGAUUAUUAUUUCGGAUAUCAAAAGUGUGUUAAUUUCGAUUUUCAGUUAUAACCGAAUAAACUAUUCGGUUCGGUUAUAACCGAAAUGCUCACCCCUACUUAUUACUGUUGUUCGGCUAGAAAGGUUUAAAAGGGUUAAUUACACUUCUGUUCUAUGAAGUACUAUCAAAUUCAUAAUUUGGCCCCCAAAAAAUUCAGGUUUACAAUUUACUGCAUCUGUGACAACCGAAAAAAUUGAAUUGUUCAUAAAUUAAGUUUAAAGAAUUAUUAAUUAAUAAAAUAAAUUUUUAUUAAUUAUAUUUUGUGUUGUGUUUAUUAAUUUUUAUAGACUUGCACCAUCCCAAGAAAUCGCAUUUUCUAUUCGGGCCCGCUAGUAGAUUCGACCUUCAUUUCCAUUCUUAUCGGAGCGGGUAAUUUUAAAAAUCACAAAUUGUCCACAAUGAUAUUGAUUGUUUUGAAUCCUUAAAUCAAAUUUGUUGCUCUCUACCAUGCUUCCUGAUGCCAUGUUAUCUUUCUACAAAAAUGACAAAUNNNNNNNNNNNNNNNNNNNNNNNNNNNNNNNNNNNNNNNNNNNNNNNNNNNNNNNNNNNNNNNNNNNNNNNNNNNNNNNNNNNNNNNNNNNNNNNNNNNNUUUAUAACUUUGUCAAUCAAAUUUUAACCACAUAUGACUCAUAUCCUCUCAAUAUAUGUAUCUCUCUCUAUAAUAUUUUAAACUAAAUAAUAAUCUAAUUUAUAUUAUUUUUAAAAAUAAAUAAUGAAUUACCUACUUAUAAACAAUUGUGAUUAAAAAAGUCUAUUAUAAGUCAAUAUAAUAUCUAUAUACCAUAUAUUAUUACUCAUUAUAUUUUCAUUGUAAUAUAGUAUAUAUAUACUCGAAAGUAUAAAUGAUUAAAAAAAAUUGGCUCGGGGUGCUGCCCCCGAACCCCGGCCAAAUUAUUUAUAACUCAGUAAUAAUUUCGACCCACUGACAAAAUAGCAUUCUCUACGGGUGUUUGGGCUGACAAAAUUGUGCUUAUUUAAUUAUUGGCUCCAACAUGUUUAAAUCAUUAAAGGCUGAACAGCCACUACAUUUAUGUACCUGACGCCCUUUCCAAUAUUCCCAGAACACACUAUCUGUUUCCGCCAGUAGUUUUUUGUUAGGAAACAAUUUCUAAUUCUUGUUGCCUACAUUUUUGUUCUCAGUAUUUUCUGGCUAUAGUUUCUUUUAACAUUGGAUUUAUGACACAUUACACUGAGUGAAGUUAUCUCAUUAUGGCUUGUACUCCCUCCGUUCAUAAAAGAUUGUCGUUUUAGAAGAAAAAAUUUGUUUCAAAAAAUUUAUCGUUUACAACUUUCGAGGAGAAUAAAUUAUUUACUUUCUUAUAUUACCCCUACUUUCCCUCAUUGUCCCAAUAAAUUCUCUCCCUUGUAUUAAUAGUUUUCAAUUUUUCAUAAAGUGGUGGUGAUGGAAUUUCAAACAAAUUUUACUUGGUAAAUGACACUUUCUUAAUCCAUGUGUCAAAACCUUAAACGACAAUCUUUUAAGAACGGAGAGAGUACUACAUAAUGCUUGCCUUUUCCAUAUUUGCAGAAAUAUCUGUGGACUAACUAAAGACUGGCUAGAAGGUUAAUUCACUUGUGGAAGUAAAUUUAGAUGCAAGGUACAAAUGGCUAAAAUGAACAUCCUUAUAUGAUAUAUCAUAACAAGGCCUCUAAUAUAUUCAGCAUAGGUGUGCCGUUUAUUUUCCUCAAGCUUUAUACACACCACAUGUAGUUGGUUCCCCACCGUUUUGGAGCUUAUAGUGGAUUUAUUUUGCUAAAAGAAAAAUCUUAUUCAGAGAUUAAAAAACAUAAUGCCUCAAUCUAUAUAUAAAUACACAUUCACUAUGCCCAAAAAUGGCCAAUUCUAAACCACUAAUAGGAGCACACACAAAAAGUCUACUACUCUAUAUAAAUAUGAAAAGAGCUCAAAGCUUCAAUUAGUACCCAAUAAUUGAUGCAAAAAAUGGAUUUCAAAAUCAUGAAAUCAGCUUUUAGGGCAUAAAUAUAUACACAUAUAUUAUCAAUAUGCGUACAUUAUAUAUUAUAUAUAUGUAUGCAUACCUUGAAAGCUGCUGAUUUUGGAUCGGAUCUUGUUCCAGGAGGAAGUUUGUAGAGGGGGAGAAGCUGUCUUUCCGGAUGCAGGCGGCAGUGAGUGAGUUUGUUGAGAGAGAGAGAGAAUUAUUGGUAAAGUGAUUUGAAAGUGGGGAGUUGUUUGGGAUUAUAGGUAUUUAGUGAUCGAUCGAUGUGC